rnacentral:rRNA from 1 species
CACACGACCGUACCGCAAACCGACACUGGUGCGCGAGAUGAGUAUUCUGAGGCGCUUGAGAGAACUCAGGAGAAGGAACUCGGCAAAUUGACACCGUAACUUCGGAAGAAGGUGUGCCUUUAGUAGGUGAACCAUUUACUUGGGGAGCCCAAUGAGGCUGCAAAAAAUCGGUGGCUGCAACUGUUUAUUAAAAACACAGCACUCUGCUAAGACGAAAGUCGACGUAUAGGGUGUGACGCCUGCCCGGUGCUGGAAGAUUAAAUGAUGGGGUGCAAGCUCUUGAUUGAAGUCCCAGUAAACGGCGGCCGUAACGAUAACGGUCCUAAGGUAGUGAAAUUCCUUGUCGGGUAAGUUCCGACCUGCACGAAUGGCGUAAUGAUGGCCACACUGUCUCCUCCUGAGACUCAGCGAAGUUGAAAUGUUUGUGAUGAUGCAAUCUCCCCGCGGAAAGACGGAAAGACCCCAUGAACCUUUACUGUAGCUUUGUAUUGGACUUUGAACAGAUCUGUGUAGGAUAGGUGGGAGGCUUUGAAGUGUGGUCGCUAGAUCGCAUGGAGCCAACGUUGAAAUACCACCCUGGUGUGUUUGAGGUUCUAACCUAGGUCCAUUAUCUGGAUCGGGGACAGUGCAUGGUAGGCAGUUUGACUGGGGCGGUCUCCUCCCAAAGUGUAACGGAGGAGUUCGAAGGUACGCUAGGUACGGUCGGACAUCGUGCUAAUAGUGCAAUGGCAUAAGCGUGCUUAACUGCGAGACUGACAAGUCGAGCAGAUGCGAAAGCAGGACAUAGUGAUCCGGUGGUUCUGUAUGGAAGGGCCAUCGCUCAACGGAUAAAAGGUACUCUGGGGAUAACAGGCUGAUACCGCCCAAGAGUUCAUAUCGACGGUGGUGUUUGGCACCUCGAUGUCGGCUCAUCUCAUCCUGGGGCUGUAGCCGGUCCAAGGGUAUGGCUGUUCGCCAUUUAAAGAGGUACGUGAGCUGGGUUUAAAACGUCGUGAGACAGUUUGGUCCCUAUCUUCCGUGGGCGCUGCAGAUUUGAGGAAGCCUGCUCCUAGUACGAGAGGACCGGAGUGGACGAACCUCUGGUGUAUCGGUUGUCACGCCAGUGGCAUUGCCGAGUAGCUAAGUUCGGAAGAGAUAACCGCUGAAAGCAUCUAAGCGGGAAACUCGUUUCAAGAUUAGAUCUGCCGGGGCCUUGAGCCCCCUAAAGAGUCGUUCAAGACCAGGACGUUGAUAGGUCAGGUGUGGAAGCAAA